rnacentral:RNase_P_RNA from 1 species
CGAGUCGGCUGGGCGGCCGCGUCGGUGCCUCUGGCACCGCCGAGGAACGUCCGGACUCCGCAGAGCAGGGUGGUUGUUAACGGCAACCCGGGGUGACCCGCGGGAAAGUGCCACAGAGAACAGACCGCCGCCGGUGCCUCGGUGCCAGGCGGUAAGGGUGAAACGGUGAGGUAAGAGCUCACCAGCGCCCCGGGUGACCGGGGCGGCUCGGUAAACCCCACCCGGAGCAAGGCCAAGCAAGGCCGCGACCGCGAGGUCGCGACCGGCGCAGGGUUCGAGGGCUGCUCGCCUGAUCCUGCGGGUAGGCCGCAUGAGCCUGUCGGCAACGGCAGGCCGAGAUGGAUGGCCGCCACCGGCGACGCAAGUCACCGGCUACAGAAUCCGGCGUACAGGCCGGCUCGUCCG